AGCGAACGCUGGCGGCAGGCCUAACACAUGCAAGUCGAACGAACCUUUCGGGGUUAGUGGCGGACGGGUGAGUAACACGUGGGAACGUGCCUUUAGGUUCGGAAUAACUUAGGGAAACUUGUGCUAAUACCGAAUGUGCCCUUCGGGGGAAAGAUUAAUCGCCUUUAGAGCGGCCCGCGUCUGAUUAGCUAGUUGGUUGAGGUAAUGGCUCACCAAGGCGACGUACCGUAGCUGGUCUGUGAGGAUGAGCCGCCACAUUGGGACUGAGACACGGUCCAAACUCCUACGGGAGGCAGCAGUGGGGAAUCUUGCGCAAUGGGCUAAAGCCUGACGCAGCCAUGCCGCGUGAAUGAUGAAGGUCUUAGGAUUGUAAAAUUCUUUCACCGGGGACGAUAAUGACGGUACCCGGAGAAGAAGCCCCGGCUAACUUCGUG
rnacentral:rRNA from 1 species